UUUGUGUCUAUCUCAAGACAUCUUAGAUGUACAAUGAAUUACCACUCAAUGCAAACAAAAACUAGGAUUGAAGGAGCAUGGUUUUAUACUCAAACAUGGGAUAUGUCAAAUUCUCAAUCUUCUGUCAUUGCCUUGUUCAGUCAUGUGCUCUCAUUGCCAGUUUAUAGCUGAUCUGCAUUACUAAACUAUAAUAGAUAAUGUCGAGAAAAUGCUUAACAUCUGAAAAACAAAGAUCCUCCCUGCCCCUGCUGAACAAUACCACUAAUUGAAAAUAAAUGUUCAUGAUGACCCUAGGAAUUCUUCUGACAUCUCGAAAGUUACCCCUUAACGAAGGCAUUCGUCAAUGAUAAUAUUCACAGUUACCUUCAAUGUGCUGGUUUAGACAGCCAUUUUUGGAAAAAUGUGUUUGAAGAUCAUGAUCUCAAACCAGGCAAAAGUUAUCCCCUUUUUCUCCUUCUUACUUCAUCUAGAGAGCAAGAGUGUUUAAUUGUCGUAUAUACCGUCAACUGAAUAAUGAAAUUAUUACUUGCAGCAACAUAACAGACCUGUAAAACAAUACACAUGAAUAAAAUACCUCAAAGCACUGGAGAUAUAUCACAUGCUUCUUUGCAAAACCUUCCAAAUUGAUUAGCAGGACAUGAGUAACGUCAGCACCAUUUCCCAGGCCAACACCCCUAGCUUUGAGACUCUAAUUACAUUAAUUUGAAUCCAAUGGAGGGAUACAGCAUUUAUAAAGCACCUGUAAUGUGUGAAACAUCCCAUGGCACUUUUGUGGAACAUUGUUGAAAAGGAUACAAGUAGAUACUAUAUCAACUGAGCUAAACAUUUUAAAAUCAAAAACAGAUUCGAAAGGGGAAUUUUAAAUGUAAAAAAAAUGAGUGAGAGAGGCAGAUAUGGGGUGGGAACCAUAUAGCUUAAGACUUCGGGAGUUAAAGACACGUCAGCAAUGGUAAAGGAAGUUAAUCUCUGGAAGAAAAACAAAUUACUACAUCAACUGACCACUUUUAAAGUAUUUAUCACAAAUUCCAGCCAUAACUGCCAUCAGGUCUGUUAUCAGAUAAUGCAUAAUAUCUUGAUUACAUCAAUUAACUUUUUUAAAGUUUACAACAGGGAGAGUUUUUCAAGAUACAGAUCUAGUACUUGCAAUAUAGAAAAAAAAGAAUAAUUUUACUCACAAUGGGCAUUCUUUAAUAUAUUGUUGAAAUGUUUAAUUAAAGAGAGAGUAUGCUUCAUGCUCAAUAUCUGCCAAACAAAGGGCCUUUUAACUUUUGAUUCAUUUUACUACUCAAAAGAUAUUUAUAAUAUUGGAUCUGAAUGGAUUUAGUUUGCAACUUUAAAAUCUGUCGAACAUAGUUUUUGUUUCACAAUCAUACAGAUUUAGUAUAUAGCUGGAAAUACACUGGGGAGAUGUUUGCUGAGCAAAGCACCUCGGAAAAGCAGCCAACAAAAUCGAAGACGUCCCACCCCAAGUCGUUCCUUCUACUCUCUGAUCGCAUCCAACAGAAGGUACAAAUG